CCAAGAUACCGCCUCCAAAACAAAAUUGACGGUACGAUUGGUGGAAACUGCAGGAUAGCUUGAGGAGCAUAUCAGCAGUGGAGGAAGGUGGGCACUUCCUCAGAGAUGGACCAAUCACGCAAGGGGCAGUUCUAUAAACUCUUGAGCCUCGCGAGCAGUCAUUCUUUUUGGGGUUUAGCGUGUGUGCGUGCGUUCUUUCGUCCAGUUUUUAUAAGGAACGUUUUAUGAACUGUGGUCGCCAGGUGGAACUCAAAAGUCUCCUCGACUGCAGUUCGGCCUUCUUCGAGAAGGACUAAGUCCUAAGGACUUAAACCUUUAUCAUUUAUCUUCUGACUCCUUUUUUGCAGAAGCACAUUGAGUCGGCUGCAGACCUUCACAGUAAAUAGGCUGCAUCUCAAGACCCAACGGAUAGGAGUGUUGGCUGGUAAGCGGGGCAUCUGUGUAUCUAAGCUAGCAAUAAAGCGGAAGUACAACCUCA